UUCGUAGGCGGUGUGGCAAGUUGGGAGUGAAAUCUCUGGGCUUAACCCAGAGGCUGCUUCCAAAAACUGCUGUGCUUGAGUGUGGGAGAGGCGCGUGGAAUUGCAGGUGUAGCGGUGAAAUGCGUAGAUAUCUGCAGGAACACCCGUGGCGAAAGCGGCGCGCUGGACCACUACUGACGCUGAGGAACGAAAGCUAGGGGAGCAAACAGGAUUAGAUACCCUGGUAGUCCUAGCCCUAAACGAUCGGGACUUGGGGUGCCGCACGUUCGUGCGUCGUCCCGGAGCUAACGCGUUAAGUCCCGCGCCUGGGGAGUACGGUCGCAAGACUGAA
rnacentral:rRNA from 1 species